CAGCAACUCACCUGGAGCCCAGGAUGAACAUCAGUAUAGGGGAUUGCGGUUAAAAAUGGCAGCCUAACAAGAAAGAAAUUCAAUCUCAAUUAUUGGGUAGCACCUGUCCUGAAUGUCCUUUGGAUGCACAGAGGUGCAGAAGGAAUGUUUAGCUUCAAUGACAGACAGAAUCAGCGGGCUGUGGGACUCUUACACUAGGUGGUACAGGUUUAUCCAUCUCAGCUUCUGCUCACCUUUAUCAGACUUUCUAUCAGUGAUGCGAGGUAGCAGGCACCCUGCAGACACACUGAUAGAGUGUUUAUAUUUGUGUUUUCCUGAUUUUGUAAUCAUUGCAUAUAGGAAUGUUGCUGUACUGACCAACAUGAUUCACACACUGGUUUCUCUUUUGUACCUAAAGUAAGUAAGUAAAAUUUGAUUACUAGAGCACCUUUCACAGACUUACUGUCGGGGUCCAGGAGAUCCUGUCUCCCUGUGCUUCACUACUAGAUGCUGCCUGAGCUCCUGGGGUGAGAGCGUGGCAGGUGUAGCUCAUCACUAUCAUCGGGAGGGGUAUAUGAGGAGCAGGUGCCAGAACUUCAGCACCUGAGUGUUUGCCUAUUGUGGUAACUCAACUGGCCAGAGCUAUUGGUGUCUUCCUUAAGAGAUCAUAGUUUCUUACCUUGUCUUUGCUCCUUCCCAGGUAAACUUCCUAGUCCUGGUUCCUGUUCCAGUCACUCUCAGUCAAGUAAAGAUUCAAGAUCUCCAAGAAUCCACUCUUCCAUCCAGCUCCAGCUGGCAGCCGCUAAGCAUAAGCUCACCCUGCUCACCCUCCAACGUGUCUCACCACCAAGCUGCAAGUACAGGCAUCUAGAGCUCACCAUCUGCUGUUUGGAAACAGUCCUGAACCAAAUUAUUUCACCUGUGCGCAAAUCACCAACCUUGGAUUAAGGAAAAGAGCCCCAUCAAACAAACCGUCUGCCGAACUCCCAGGCUCCACAUCACUCCCUCCCUGGCGGAUCCUCAUCUUCAAACCCUCGCUGUGCCUCCAUCCUGGGUCCAACACCAUAACCCAUUCCUGUCCAAAUAAACGUGUUAAACUCUU